UGAUUUUCUCAGAAUCAACGUAAGAACAAUGGGGGCCUGGAAUUUCAACCAUUCUUUAUGAAAGAAGAUGUUUAAUAUUUAAAAUAUCAAAAAGUAUGCAAUUGGCUCAAGAUCUUACAGGUUAUGAAGAGGAUUUAGCUCUUUUCAAUUAUUGCAAGAUUGUUCUCUUGAUAUACAGCAUCCAUUUACAGAAACAUCAGUCAAGUGCUUUCUUCAGAAACUGGACAGAAGGCCUUUGCUAAUUUGGACAAGCCAGCAUCUCCAUCUCUGCCUGGUGAUUCCAUGAAGAAGUCUGCAUAGUCAAAAGCCUUACAUACUACUUUUCACAGCGCGGCACAGCUGUAUUUUCUAUUACACCCUCAUCAUUGACAGCAAAGCUGGCUUCUGCACAAGCAGUUCCUAAGGCCUUCCAAGACUUGCUAAGAGGAAAGCUGAGCUCUUACUAGCCACAAGGGCCCGGCCCAGUCGGCAGCGGAACAGGAAACACCAGGAUGGGAGACAACCGGCUUCCAGGGGCUGGCGGAGCCCCACUCCUCGCCGGAGCUCGGUGGGAGCGGAGGAGGCCCUUAACCCAGUUGUAAAAGGAUCUUGACUACUCUCCGUUUUUGUUCUGUGCCUGGGUCGACACUGAGACAACCGAAAAGACGAAACUCUGACCACUAAGCCCCAAGUCGAUAAUAAUGGUGGUGAUAUUAAAGCAAUAGAAAAGAUGCUUAGUGUGACAGCAGAAAAGAGAAGAAGGGGAUGUAGCAGGAUAAUUGCAAUAUAUUAGUGUGAUAUCAAGGCAGACACUGUCUCCAAAUGUGAUGACAGGAAAACCAGAAUUCAGAUCUCACUGCUCUUUUGUGCACUUAGAUUUCCAUGCAGGGCGUUUAUUCAUCUAUAACUUGGCCCUAAAGUUGAAUGUGAAUUUUCUGAGUUGAAGUCCUGUGUUGAAAUACCUAAAAAUUACAUUUGCAUUAUAUUGUCAUCACUAUAGGUUUGUGGUAAACUUUGCACUUAUUCAGAAAAUUUUAUUUUAAAAGAUUGAUACUUUAAAAGCAUAACCAGAUGUGAAUUUAAUAAUUAAAUCAGGAAAAAAAAAAGCUUUGCCAGAGUGUGUGUCUUGAAUUUUAAGUUCUGAAAUGAUGUCCUUUCUGGCUGCUAGGUAGAUCCUAACCACAAAAGUAGCCUUGCUUUUUUCAACUAUUUCCUGGAUCAAAUCUAUACCACCAUGCACUUCAUUAGGAGUUUUAUCCCAGAAGGUUUAAACUGCCUUUGUUUGUAGAGGGAGUAUCUUAGUUGAAAUGUAUUAAUCUAGUCUGAGACAUCCUUUCAAUUGCACUUGGUCUAUUUUAAAGGGGAUAUAAAAACACAUGUUUUAAACCCGGAACAUGAGAGGAAACGGGGAAAGCAAAAGGGGAGACGAACAGACUGGGUCUCUUACGACUGCAGUCCUGCCUGGUGCACGACAGUUGAGAGCAACCGGGAAAGCAGAG